rnacentral:rRNA from 1 species
CAGUUCGGACUGCAGGCUGCAACCCGCCUGCACGAAGCCGGAGUUGCUAGUAAUCGCGAAUCAGAAUGUCGCGGUGAAUGCGUUCCCGGGUCUUGUACACACCGCCCGUCACACCAUGGAAGUUGGGGGUGCCCAAAGCCGGCAAGCAAAUAUGCUGUCUAAGGCAAAACCAAUGACUGGGGUGAAGUCGUAACAAGGUAGC